rnacentral:lncRNA from 1 species
GAGGUGAACAUGGGGAGGAGGUUUUAUAGGCUUGGAUGUGUCCAAAGCCAAACUGUAGUCCCAGCCUCUGCUUCAUUCCUGGGGCAGCCUCAGGCAACUCGUAUCUUCUCUGUGGUCUGUCACCUGUGACUCCUGAUUCCUGGAGUCCCUUCUAAUGCCAUGGUUCUGUGGUUGUGUGGCAAGGGCAAUGGGUUGGUCACCGAAAUUUCUCUUCCUGUUCUUGGUGCAUUCCUUACUGUGCUACCUCUGAUUACAGCAUAAAUAACGAGGACCUGAAGCAGCAGAACUCAGAAUUGGAAGAGAAGCUCCGUGUGGUGCUGGCAGAGAAAGCAGCUAUGCAGCUGGGGGCGGAGGAGCUCCAAAAGAAGCUGGAGAUGUCUGAGCUGCUGCUGCAACAAGUGAGGCAGCAGCCCCAGCAGCCCGAGCACUGGCUCCGUGCGGUUGUCAGGGUGGCCUCCAGCCAAGAGCUGGAAAAUUUGGGUUCUUAUCUGGUCCUGCCAUAGAAUCUUCC